ACGGGGUGCAGCAGGCGCGAAACCUCCUCAAUGCACUAACGUGCGAAGGGGUUACCUCGAGUGCCUCCUGAAGAAGGUGGCUUUUCCUUGGUCUAAAAAGCCUCGGGAAUAAGAGGGGGGCAAGACUGGUGUCAGCCGCCGCGGUAACACCAGCCCCUCGAGUGGUGGGGAUGAUUAUUUGGCCUAAAGCGUCCGUAGCCGGCCGUAUAAGUUUCCCGUUAAAUCCAACGUCUCAAGCGUUGGACUGCGGGAAAUACUGUACGGCUAGAGAGUGGGAGAGGUCAGCGGUAUUCUGGGGGUAGGGGCGAAAUCCUUUGAUCCCCGGAGGACCACCAGUGGCGAAGGCUGCUGACUAGAACACGUCUGACGGUCAGGGACGAAAGCUGGGGUAGCGAACCGGAUUAGAUACCCGGGUAGUCCCAGCCGUAAACGAUGCAUGCUAGGUGUUGGGUUGGCCACGAGCCACCCCAGUGCCGCAGGGAAGCCGUUAAGCAUGCCGCCUGGGAAGUACGAUCGCAAGAUUGAAAUUUAAAGGAAUUGGCGGGGGAGCAC
rnacentral:rRNA from 1 species